rnacentral:rRNA from 1 species
GAAGCUUCCGCAAUGGACGAAAGUCUGACGGAGCAACGCCGCGUGAGUGAAGAAGGUUUUCGGAUCGUAAACCUCUGUUGUCGGAGAAGAACAAUUAGGAGAGUAACUGUUCAUACCUUGACGGUACCCGACCAGAAAGCCACGGCUCACUACGUUCCAGCCGCCGCGGUAAUACGGAGGUGGCAAGCGAUGUCCGGAUUUAUUUGGCGUAAAGCGAGCGCAGGUGGUUUCUUAAGUCUGAUGUGAAAUCCCACCGCUCAACCGUGGAAGGUCAUUGGAAACUGGGGAACUUGAAUGCAGAAGAUGAGAGUGGAAUUACAUGUGUAGCGGUGAAAUGAGUAGAUAUAUGGAGGAACACCAGUGGCGAAGGCGACUCUCUGGUCUGUUAUUGACACUGAGGCUCGAAAGCGUGGGAAGCAAACA